rnacentral:tRNA from 1 species
UCCCCUGUAGCUCAGUCGGUAGAGCGGAUGGCUGUUAACCAUUAGGUCGUUGGUUCGAGUCCAGCCGGGGGAG